rnacentral:rRNA from 1 species
GACGAACGCUGGCGGCGUGCUUAACACAUGCAAGUCGAACGGAAAGGCCCUGCUUUUGUGGGGUGCUCGAGUGGCGAACGGGUGAGUAACACGUGAGUAACCUGCCCUUGACUUUGGAUAACUUCAGGAAACUGGGGCUAAUACCGGAUAGGAGCUCCUGCUGCAUGGGGGGGGGUGGAAAGUUUCGGCGGUUGGGGAUGGACUCGCGGCUUAUCAGCUUGUUGGUGGGGUAGUGGCUUACCAAGGCUUUGACGGGUAGCCGGCCUGAGAGGGUGACCGGCCACAUUGGGACUGAGAUACGGCCCAGACUCCUACGGGAGGCAGCAGUGGGGAAUAUUGCACAAUGGGCGGAAGCCUGAUGCAGCAACGCCGCGUGCGGGAUGACGGCCUUCGGGUUGUAAACCGCUUUCGCCUGUGACGAAGCGUGAGUGACGGUAAUGGGUAAAGAAGCACCGGCUAACUACGUG